rfam:Puccinia graminis f. sp. tritici CRL 75-36-700-3 supercont2.77 genomic scaffold, whole genome shotgun sequence.
GCCUCAGUAGCCCAGUGGUAGAGCGUUUGCCUAGUAUUCCAUGCCAGCAAAAGGUCCAGUGUUCGACUCACUGUUGAGGCA